GAUGGUAUUAAUUCAGACACGGGUGUAUGUUGGUUUUAUAAGAAACAGCAGAUCUACCUUUUUCAUGGUAUAUAUGAACUUGAGUUUUCUUUUGUGUGAUACUAGGAUGUUGGUUUUCCUGGAAAUUCUAGAAAAGAAUGUCCAACUGUAACAAAC